rnacentral:lncRNA from 1 species
GUUUCCACCCCAGUGCCAGAGGAGGUGGAAGGAGCAGAGUUUUCAGGAUGCUUUUUAGGAUCCAGGCACUGCACAGUCCAACCAACCUUCCUUUGAGUAGUACGCCCCAUUUUCUCCUCGGCAGUCACCUAGUGGUACUAAUGCUCAUGAUUAAUUUCUGCAAGCAGAGAAUCAAGAUGUUUUUCACUGGAUUGGUUCCCAGAACCGACUUGUUGCCUGGCCACAUGGGCAAGGUUCUGGUGUAAUUUUGUGGAGGGCAAAGCCACAGCAGUGCUGACCUAGAUGGACUUAAGCCACCACUGAUCCAAACUUUGGUGCACCGUCCGUAGACUGUUAAAAUACACCUACAGUGAUUUUAAUACACAUUACUACUGCAGCUAACAUCUCUGAUUCGUGCUUUAUUUUGGAGUUACCGGUUAGGGCUGAAGAAAAAACUUGCAGAAAGGGUGGUGAUGAGCAGGAGUCUCUCCAUGGCCACUCUUCAAGGAGUAACCACAUGAGGAUGGAUGUGCAUGUUUCCAGCAAGUCAUGCUGCCCAGGCCAGCAGAGCGAAGCAUGCUGUCUAACAGCUGUCCCUCCAGAGAAGCGGCACGGGAAGGAUGGAAGUCAGCUAACAGGAGCCUUUUUUCCUGGAAAACAUUUUCGGCUGUGGUGCGGUAACAGCUGGGCUGUGAGCUGCAAGCAUCUCUGCAGCUGUGGGUGGUGGGCUGCGCAAGCUCAGCUGCUCCUCUGACAGCAGCAGGUAACUUCACUGCAGCAAAAGCUUUCAUCCGGGAAUUAAACGGGAAAGGAAGCUUAAGAAAUGCAGGCUUUCUGCUGACCUUGCCUCUCUCCACAUGUACCUAUCAAAGUACUUUGUAUUCAGCGAGUAGGGCUGUGGUAAGCGUGGAGUAAGGGGUGUAGGAUGAGCGUUGCCGUUAGUCCUGUGCCAGUGGCUAACUGGGAAGUUGUCAGAGUUGUCAGACUGCUACGUCCUGCGUUGACCAAAGCACUGCACGGGGCUCAGCCCGGCUUCCAGGUGGUUUCAAAGAAGAGCUUUCUGAGGAGCGGCCCUAGUAGGAAAUCAUGGAAGCACGGGCAAA